AGCGAACGCUGGCGGCAGGCCUAACACAUGCAAGUCGAACGAACCUUUCGGGGUUAGUGGCGGACGGGUGAGUACCACGUGGGAACGUGCCCUUAGGUUCGGAAUCACUCAGGGAAACUUGUGCUAAUACCGCAUGUGCCCUUCGGGGGAAAGAUUUAUCGCCUUUAGAGCGGCCCGGGUCUGAUUAGCUAGUUGGUUGAGGUAAUGGCUCACCAAGGCGACGAUCAGUAGCUGGUCUGAGAGGAUGAUCAGCCACAUUGGGACUGAGACACGGCCCAAACUCCUACGGGAGGCAGCAGUGGGGAAUCUUGCGCAAGGGGCGAAAGCCUGACGCAGCCAUGCCGCGUGAAUGAUGAAGGUCUUAGGAUUGUAAAAUUCUUUCACCGGGGACGAUAAUGACGGUACCCGGAGAAGAAGCCCCGGCUAACUUCGUG
rnacentral:rRNA from 1 species